GACGGGGGGGCAAGUGUUCUUCGGAAUGACUGGGCGUAAAGGGCACGUAGGCGGUGAAUCGGGUUGAAAGUGAAAGUCGCCAAAAAGUGGCGGAAUGCUCUCGAAACCAAUUCACUUGAGUGAGACAGAGGAGAGUGGAAUUCGUGUGUAGGGGUGAAAUCCGUAGAUCUACGAAGGAACGCCAAAGCGAAGGCAGCUCUCUGGUCCCUACCGACGCUGGGCGCGAAAGCAUGGGGAGCGAACAGG
rnacentral:rRNA from 1 species